rnacentral:misc_RNA from 1 species
CCUUCAUGCAGCGCAUAUUGGAUUGGUGAUAUCUCUCUACCCAUGUCUUCUGUAGUUACCUUUCGCUUCCUCGGCGGGUCCUUGCCCUGCCGAUUGGACCAAUUUAUAACCAUUUGCAGUUUGCAAUCAGCGUCUGAAAAAAAUUAAUAAGUUA